UCCCCGAGUAGGACGCCGCGACCCGCUGGGCGUCUGCCUGAGGCCCGGGUGCGAGUCCGGUUCGCCCUCGCGGCGAGCCGGAGCCCCGGUGACCCGGUAGUCUGCCCGGCGGUCGUAAGUACGGAACCGACCCGCGAUUUCGCGCCCGCGACCCCGGCGAGCGACGGCCGAUCUCUCCGUCUGGCGGACUUGUCCGCCGCGGUGCGGCCGGCGCUGUCGGCCGGGGAUUCGCUCGGGCAGUGGUCUCUCAAAAGUUCCCGUCUGCGGCGCUCAAAGCUGGGCGGCCCACCCGACCCGUCUUGAAACACGGACCAAGGAGUCUAACAUGUGCGCGAGUCAUUGGGCGUUUUCAAAACCCAAGGGCGCAUUGAACGAAAAGGCGGGGCUCGCACCCGCCGAGGGACGAUGGGGUGUCCGCUUGCGGCUCCCCCGCAGUCCCGGGGCGUCUCGUCCUAGUUCCGCUGGUCGGUUCAAGGUGAGGCGCACCAAGAGCGCACACGUUGGGACCCGAAAGAUGGUGAAMUAUGCCUGGCCAGGAUGAAGUCAGGGGAAACCCUGAUGGAGGUCCGUA
rnacentral:rRNA from 1 species